AUUGAACGCUGGCGGCAUGCCUUACACAUGCAAGUCGAACGGCAGCACGGGAGCAAACGUGUGGCGAGUGGCGAACGGGUGAGUAAUAUAUCGGAACGUGCCCAGUCGUGGGGGAUAACGCAGCGAAAGCUGUUCUAAUACCGCAUACGAUGUACGGAUGAAAGCGGGGGAUCGGAAGACCUCGGGCGAUUGGAGCGGCCGAGAGCAGAUUAGCUAGUUGGUGAGGGCAAGGCUCAACAAGGCGACGAACGGUAGCUGGUCUGAGAGUACCACCCGCCACACUGGAACUGAGACACGGUCCAGACUCCUACGGGGGGCAGCAGUGGGGCAUUUUGGCCAAUGGGCGAAAGCCUGAUCCAGCAAUGCCGCGUGAAGGAUGAAGGCCUUCGGGUUGUAAACUGCUUUUGUACGGAACGAAACGGUGAGCUCUAAUACAGUUUGCUAAUGGCGGUACCGUAAGAAUAAGCACCGGCUAACUACGUGCCAGCAGCCGCAGUAA
rnacentral:rRNA from 1 species